AACGAACGCUGGCGGCAUGCCUAACACAUGCAAGUCGAACGAGACCUUCGGGUCUAGUGGCGCACGGGUGCGUAACGCGUGGGAACCUGCCCUUAGGUUCGGAAUAACUCCCCGAAAGGGGUGCUAAUACCGGAUAAUGUCUUCGGACCAAAGAUUUAUCGCCUUUGGAUGGGCCCGCGUUGGAUUAGCUAGUUGGUAGGGUAAAAGCCUACCAAGGCGUCGAUCCAUAGCUGGUCUGAGAGGAUGAGCAGCCACACUGGGACUGAGACACGGCCCAGACUCCUACGGGGGGCAGCGGUUGGGAAAAUUCGACGAUGGGCGAAAACCUGAUCCAGCCAUGCCGCGGGAGUGGUGAAUGGCGUAGUGUUGUAAAGCUCUUUUAGCCGGGAUGAUAAUGACAGUACCGGGAGAAUAAGCUCCGGCUAACUACGUG
rnacentral:rRNA from 1 species